rnacentral:rRNA from 1 species
CCCUUAGAUGUUCUGGGCCGCACGCGUGCUACACUGAGUGGAUCAGCGGGUCAGGUUGCGCGAAAGCGUUUCCUAAUCUUUAAAUCCGCUCGUGAUGGGGAUUGACGGUUGCAAUUUUCUGUCAUGAACGAGGAAUACCUUGUAAGCGCGGGUCAUCAUCCCGCGCUGAAUACGUCCCUGCCCUUUGUACACACCGCCCGUCGCUCCUACCGAUUGGAUGGUCCGGUGAAGCCUCGGGAUUGUGGUUCUUGCCGCUUUAUUGUGGAGUGACCGCGAGAACUUGUCUAAACCUUAUCAUCUAGAGGAAGGUGAAGUCGUAACA